rnacentral:rRNA from 1 species
UACCAGCACCCCGAGUGGUCGGGACGAUUAUUGGGCCUAAAGCAUCCGUAGCCGGUUCUACAAGUCUUCCGUUAAAUCCGCCUGCUCAACAGUUGGGCUGCGGAGGAUACUAUAGAGCUAGGAGGCGGGAGAGGCAAGCGGUACUUAGUGGGUAGGGGUAAAAUCCGUUGAUCCAUUGAAGACCACCAGUGGCGAAGGCGGCUUGCCAGAACGCACUCGACGGUGAGGGAUGAAAGCUGGGGGAGCAAACCGG